UCAGUGAAUUCAUAGCUGUUGUGGGGGUUACGCGGGGAAGUGAAACAUCUCAGUACCCGUAGGAAGAGAAAAUAAUAAUGAUUCUGCUAGUAGUGGCGAACGAACGUGGAUGAGGCUAAACCGUGUGCAUGUGAUACCUGGUAGGGGUUGUGUGUGCGGUGUUGUGGGCCCUGAUGAGGAUGGCUACUGACGUCCUGCCCGCGCAUUGUUGUUAGGUGAAGUGGUGUGGAAACGCCUGCCGUAGAAGGUGAUAGUCCUGUAGCUGAAGAUGAUGGUGUGUGGGUUGUUGGGUUGCCCGAGUAGCAGCGGGCUCGUGGAAUCUGCUGUGAAUCUGCCGGGACCACCCGGUAAGCCUAAAUACUCAGUGUGACCGAUAGUGGAUAGUACCGUGAGGGAAUGGUGAAAAGUACCCCGGGAGGGGAGUGAAAUAGUUCCUGAAACCAUGUGCUUACAAUCCGUCAGAGCACUUUUUGUGUGUGAUGGCGUGCCUUUUGAAGA
rnacentral:rRNA from 1 species